rnacentral:rRNA from 1 species
GACGAACGCUGGCGGCGUGCUUAACACAUGCAAGUCGAACGGUAAGGCCCUUCGGGGUACACGAGUGGCGAACGGGUGAGUAACACGUGGGUGAUCUGCCCUGCACUUCGGGAUAAGCCUGGGAAACUGGGUCUAAUACCGGAUAGGACCAUGGACUUCACGGUUUGUGGUGGAAAGCUUUUGCGGUGUGGGAUGGGCCCGCGGCCUAUCAGCUUGUUGGUGGGGUAAUGGCCUACCAAGGCGACGACGGGUAGCCGGCCUGAGAGGGUGUCCGGCCACACUGGGACUGAGAUACGGCCCAGACUCCUACGGGAGGCAGCAGUGGGAAUAUUGCACAAUGGGCGCAAGCCUGAUGCAGCGACGCCGCGUGAGGGAUGACGGCCUCGGGUUGUAACCUACUUUCAAUAGGACGAAGCGCAAGUGACGGUACCUAUAGAAGAAGCACCGGCCAAC